GACGAACGCUGGCGGCGUGCCUAACACAUGCAAGUCGAGCGAUGAAUCCUUCGGGAUGGAUUAGCGGCGGACGGGUGAGUACACGUGGGUACCUGCCUCAAGAGGGGAUAGCCUUCCGAAGGAGAUUAUACCGCAUAAUAUGUUUUGGUCGCAUGAUCGAGACAUCAAGGAGUAUCCGCUUUGAGAUGGACCCGCGGCGCAUUAGCUAGUUGGUGAGGUACGGCUCACCAAGGCGACGAUGCGUAGCCGACCUGAGAGGGUGAUCGGCCACAUUGGAACUGAGACACGGUCCAGACUCCUACGGGUGGCAG
rnacentral:rRNA from 1 species